CAACAAUAGAUGCAUAAAUUUACAGUCAGUUAGAUAAAAUUUUACACAACAUUAGCAAUCCGCCAAUCAUGCCUGAUAAGGGCAGUCAUCAUAUCACCCGGGACAAUAUUUUACCUAAGAGGUUAAGCUAUUAUUUCAAAGCCAAAGACAAGGAGAGAAAGCCAACAGAUUUAGCAAAUAAUUAUCAAAAGGAUAGAGNGUUAUCAAAAGGAGAGAGAGGGUAAAAGUCAGAAGAGCGAGAGGACGCAAGGAAGAAUUAAAUCAUAUCUUACAAAUUUUGCCAUCAAAAUUCAGCUGAACCAGGUGCCCUAGGGAAAGGUAUAGCAUCUCUUAUAUUUUCUAUUCCAGUUGCAAAUUGCACCAGUCUUUCAAAGCCAAGUCCAAAUCCCGCAUGAGGAACUGAACCAUACCGCCGCAGAUCAAGAUACCACCAGUAGCUGUCCUUGUUUAACUUCAAGUCAUCCAAACGAUCUUCCAAAUAUUCAAGCCGUUCUUCUCUUUGACUUCCACCAAUAAGCUCCCCAACCCGAGGAACCAGCAUAUCCAUGGCUGCGACAGUCUUCCCAUCAUCAUUUUGCCUCAUAUAAAAUGCCUUGAUCUCCUUUGGAUAAUCUCUUAUUAUGACUGGGCAUCCACCAAAAGCCCCUUCAGUUAUAUAACGCUCAUGCUCACUUUGCAAAUCGCAUCCCCAUUUCACCGGGAAGUCAAAUUUCUUAUUUGUUCUGAGAAGAAGUUCAAUGGCAUCAGUAUAAGUCAACUGGACAAAAUCUUUGUCAACAACAUUACUCAAUCGAUCAAUGAUUCCUUUCUCAAUCCAAGUAUUGAAGAAGUCCAUGUCUUCCUUGCAAUUUUCAAGGAUAUGCCUGACUACAUACUGGAGAUAGGCAGUUGCAC
rnacentral:misc_RNA from 1 species